GACAGAGGCCUCGAGCGUUAGGCGGAAUCACUGGGCUUAAAGCGUGUGUAGGCGGGCCCGUAAGUUUCUUGUGAAAUCCCACGGCUCAACCGUGGAACUGCUGGGCAUACUGCGGGUCUUGGGCCAACUAGGGGCAGCCGGAACAAGCGGUGGAGCGGUGAAAUGCGUAGAUAUCGCUUGGAACGCCGAAGGUGAAAACAGGCUGCUGGGGUUGCGCCGACGCUGAGACACGAAAGCCAGGGGAGCAAACGGG
rnacentral:rRNA from 1 species